UUUCCCUCAGGAUAGCUGGCACUCGCUUGAGCGAGUCUCAUCUGGUAAAGCGAAUGAUUAGAGGCCUUGGGGCCGAAACGACCUCAACCUAUUCUCAAACUUUAAAUGGGUGAGAUCUCUGGCUUGCUUGAACGUUGAAGCCACGAGAUAAAUUUUCAAUGGAUCAGAGUGCCAAGUGGGCCAAUUUGGUAAGCAGAACUGGCGCUGUGGGA
rnacentral:rRNA from 1 species